rnacentral:rRNA from 1 species
CCUACGGGGGGCUGCAGUGGGGAAUAUUGGACAAUGGGGGCAACCCUGAUCCAGCCAUGCCGCGUGUGUGAAGAAGGCCCUCGGGUUGUAAAGCACUUUCAGUGAGGAAGAACGCCUGGUGGUUAAUACCCAUCAGGAAAGACAUCACUCACAGAAGAAGCACCGGCUAACUCCGUGCCAGUAGCCGCGGUAAUACGGAGGGUGCGAGCGUUAAUCGGAAUUACUGGGCGUAAAGCGCGCGUAGGUGGCUUGAUAAGCCGGUUGUGAAAGCCCCGGGCUCAACCUGGGAACGGCAUCCGGAACUGUCAAGCUAGAGUGCAGGAGAGGAAGGUAGAAUUCCCGGUGUAGCGGUGAAAUGCGUAGAGAUCGGGAGGAAUACCAGUGGCGAAGGCGGCCUUCUGGACUGACACUGACACUGAGGUGCGAAAGCGUGGGUAGCAAACAGGAUUAGAUACCCCGGUAGUC